UUCAUCCAGAGCAGUGGAGGGAAUGGCCCGAUGAAACUGCGGCAACCCUUGCGUAUGCAAAACGGUGCCAAUUCCUUUAGGCAAAGACCUAUAAGAUGAA
rnacentral:ncRNA from 1 species